rnacentral:rRNA from 1 species
UACAGAGGGGGCAAGCGUUGUUCGGAAUUACUGGGCGUAAAGGGCGCGUAGGCGGCCUUCUAAGUCAGACGUGAAAUCCCCCGGCUUAACCUGGGAACUGCAUUUGUGACUGCAUGGCUAGAGUACGGUAGAGGGGGAUGGAAUUCCGCGUGUAGCAGUGAAAUGCGUAGAUAUGCGGAGGAACACCGAUGGCGAAGGCAAUCCCCGUGGACCUGUACUGACGCUCAUGCACGAAAGCGUGGGGAGCAAACAGG